GGAGGUAGAUACAUACAGGGCAUUGUCUUGUAAUUGGAAUGAUGGUGACGUAAAAUCUCACCAGAGUAACAAUUGGAGGGCAAGUCUGGUGCCAGCAGCCGCGGUAAUUCCAGCUCCAAUAGCGUAUAUUAAACUUGUUGCAGUUAAAAAGCUCGUAGUUGAAUUUCUGCGUUGCCCGACUCGGCUACUUGCCUUGUCUGGUUUCGCUUUUGGGGUUUUCCCCUUUUUACUUUGAGAAAAUUAGAGUGUUUCAAGCAGACUUGUGUCUUGAAUACUUCAGCAUGGAAUAAUAAAGUAGGACUUUGGUUCUAUUUUGUUGGUUUGUGAACCUUAGUAAUGGUUAAUAGGAACGGUUGGGGGCAUUCGUAUUUAAA
rnacentral:rRNA from 1 species